GGGCUCGUAGCACAAUCGGUUAGUGCAGCCGGCUCAUAACCGGACGGUUGCAGGUUCAAGUCCUGCCGGGCCCA
rnacentral:tRNA from 2 species